rnacentral:rRNA from 1 species
CCUACGGGUGGCUGCAGUGGGGAAUAUUGGACAAUGGGCGAAAGCCUGAUCCAGCCAUGCCGCGUGUGUGAAGAAGGCCUUCGGGUUGUAAAGCACUUUCAGUGGGGAAGAAAGCCUUGGGGCUAAUACCCUCGAGGAAGGACAUCACCCACAGAAGAAGCACCGGCUAACUCCGUGCCAGCAGCCGCGGUAAUACGGAGGGUGCGAGCGUUAAUCGGAAUUACUGGGCGUAAAGCGCGCGUAGGCGGUCUGAUAAGCCGGUUGUGAAAGCCCCGGGCUCAACCUGGGAACGGCAUCCGGAACUGUCAGGCUAGAGUGCAGGAGAGGAAGGUAGAAUUCCCGGUGUAGCAGUGAAAUGCGUAGAGAUCGGGAGGAAUACCAGUGGCGAAGGCGGCCUUCUGGACUGACACUGACGCUGAGGUGCGAAAGCGUGGGUAGCGAACAGGAUUAGAUACCCGGGUAGUC